GUUUUUAUUACACAGUUCAUGCUUUGUUUCUCAAUAGGCGUCUUCAUGAAGAUCUUAAACCCUUACUGAAACAGCAACAUAACGCGACCGAGAUCUCUAAGGAACAUAUAUCCACUAAGAAGCUCAAGGAUUAAACUGAAAUCUGUCGAGGGCCUUGUAUCCAUGGUUUAGUCCUAGACAAGAACCGCUCUCUACUCAGUGAACUCAGCGAUACUACCGAGCUCAUUGGUGCUCAUGCAGUUACUUGGUAUGAACUGAUCGUACAGCCAUCAAAAGAUUAUCACGGAUACCUUUACUGUCAGCCAGGAUUAUCAAGGUCUGGAUCCCUCGGUUAACUACUUUAUUUUCACUAAUACGAUCUCGCCCAACCAAGACAAUAGCGUGCUGUUCAAGGAAUUUCGAGGCCCUAGACAUUCCUUUCGUACAAAGGGGGUGCAAAGACUUCUGGUGAUGAAUUUGCCUUGAUAAUGUUCGUGGAUCUAUGCUUUUCGAGAGCUAUACUAAUAUAAUAGCGACUUUAUAACUAGGGACUGUAUAUUUCAGAGCAUCUGCACGUCUAACAUUAGUUGCAAAGUACUUCAAAGAAAAAGUGGAUUACACAACCACAAUAAUCUGAAAUUAUCUAUUUGCGUCUUAGAGACUAAGCUGUUAACGCAUUGUGCUAUAGAAGCAUGAUAAGGUUCCUCACCGCGCAACAAAGGUUUCAGGUAGUCACUACUUCAUCAGUUUCCUCAACGCCAGUUAAGCGUUGUAAAAGUAUUAUUAUCAAUUCUACAAGUUCUAGAAAUAUCGUGAAGUCUUUAAUAGUUCUCAUCUACAUUCCACAGUAAGUGCAGGUAUUUACUAUUUAUCAAGAAAAAAAAUUUCGUCCCCGUCGUGGUUUCUGCUUUUCAGGACGGGGUUUGAGGGCCCGUACGAUCGUCGCAUGCAGGAGCGAUGUUCAUGUGACGCAGUUACAAAUCUAUGUAGAACAAAUUAAUGGUUUUAUGUUUUAAAAUAGCAAAUCCAUUUUAUUUCUUUCAACAAGUUCGCAGGUUCAAAUGGGAUUCAAACAACUGAAAAGAGAGAUUACUAUCAGUUUUUCAAACAGUGUUUACUAAUUCCUCAUGGAAGGAAUUGAACCUUUGUUAAUAUUCCAUUUAUUACUUUAAGUAAUUACAAUCAACCUUACCAUAGAACAUAUUUAACUAUUACCGAUUUUAAGUGCGUGUCAAACUGUGUCAGUUGUGACCCGACAUACGCACUUAAAUUUGUUUUACAUUUCACAACCCUAUUGGAUAUUAAAAGGGCCUUUAAUUUCCGCCGGACAAAUAAAUCUUUA